AUGUUGGCAACGAUUAAAAGGUUACUAUUUUAAUUCUCGUGGCUACAUUAUUUGCUGCUUUAGUCGCCAACCAGCGCUUUGCUUUUGCCCUGCCUUGUGCUUUGGCUCCAUUGUAGAGUAGCAGUUCAGUGCAGCACGUGUUAGAAUCACUAGUGAUAAACAUUGAUUUUAUUAAUUUUAGUACUUAAUUCUUCAUUUUAAGACUUGGAUAAUCUAUUAAAUCUCUUAUGGUGGUUAAGGCUUCAGUAAUCCAGGAUUAAAAGUUGAAUUAUUUGAAACCCCAUCUUCCUGAUGUAAUUCUGGAUCACAAUGGGCAGCUUCAAAACUUUCCAGGAUUUAAAAUUAAAUGAUAAAUGGAGAAAAUAAAAGAGUUUAGUAGAUUUGGUGUGACUGUUCUACAUAUUGGUUCUAUCGAUUGCUCUGUGGAUGGUAGAGCCAAUAUAACAGUUUGAAACAUUAACAAAUUUUGUUGAACAAUCCUAGAAGGGUCUGUUCUUUUCAUCAUUCUGAGGAGAGCCAAAUUUAGAAGCAUUUACUUAACCUAGAGGUGGAAGCUGGAGCAGCCUGUCAUUAUUAAACAUCUUGUCUGUCCUAGGUGAUGAAAAUUGGUUCAAUCAGCUGUAUAUUUUAAUUUGUUUAAUUUUUGAACGAAGAGCAUGUUUAAAACUUCAGUGUUACCUUUUGAAGGGCAACUCAAUAUUUUUAGAAUGUAUUUGUAUGUCAUCUUUAAGCUGUAUAUAAUAAAACUAUUGUGUUUGGUU